rnacentral:rRNA from 1 species
GGGGAUCUGCCCGAUAGAGGGGGAUAACCACUGGAAACGGUGGCUAAUACCGCAUAACGUCGCAAGACCAAAGAGGGGGACCUUAGGGCCUCUCACUAUCGGAUGAACCCAGAUGGGAUUAGCUAGUAGGCGGGGUAACGGCCCACCUAGGCGACGAUCCCUAGCUGGUCUGAGAGGAUGACCAGCCACACUGGAACUGAGACACGGUCCAGACUCCUACGGGAGGCAGCAGUGGGGAAUAUUGCACAAUGGGCGCAAGCCUGAUGCAGCCAUGCCGCGUGUAUGAAGAAGGCCUUCGGGUUGUAAAGUACUUUCAGCGGGGAGGAAGGCGAUGUGGUUAAUAACCGCAUUGAUUGACGUUACCCGCAGAAGAAGCACCGGCUAACUCCGUGCCAGCAGCCGCGGUAAUACGGAGGGUGCAAGCGUUAAUCGGAAUUACUGGGCGUAAAGCGCACGCAGGCGGUCUGUUAAGUCAGAUGUGAAAUCCCCGGGCUUAACCUGGGAACUGCAUUUGAAACUGGCAGGCUUGAGUCUCGUAGAGGGGGGUAGAAUUCCAGGU